GUGCUCACUUCAGCAGCAUAUAUAUAUACUAAAAUUGGAAUGAUACAGAGAAGAUUAACAUGGCCCCUGUGCAAGGAUAACAUGCAAAUUCAUGAAGCGUUCCGUAUUUUA
rnacentral:snRNA from 1 species